rnacentral:rRNA from 1 species
CAGUAGCCACGGUAAUACGGAGGGGGCUAGCGUUGUUCGGAAUUACUGGGCGUAAAGCGCACGUAGGCGGCUUUGUAAGUCAGAGGUGAAAGCCCGGGGCUCAACCCCGGAAUUGCCUUUGAGACUGCAUCGCUUGAAUCCAGGAGAGGUGAGUGGAAUUCCGAGUGUAGAGGUGAAAUUCGUAGAUAUUCGGAAGAACACCAGUGGCGAAGGCGGCUCACUGGACUGGUAUUGACGCUGAGGUGCGAAAGCGUGGGGAGCAAACAGGAUUAGAUACCCCCGUAGUCCCUGUCUCUUAUAC